rnacentral:rRNA from 1 species
GAUGAACGCUGGCGGCGUGCCUAAUACAUGCAAGUCGAGCGAACGGACGAGAAGCUUGCUUCUCUGAUGUUAGCGGCGGACGGGUGAGUAACACGUGGAUAACCUACCUAUAAGACUGGGAUAACUUCGGGAAACCGGAGCUAAUACCGGAUAAUAUUUUGAACCGCAUGGUUCAAAAGUGAAAGACGGUCUUGCUGUCACUUAUAGAUGGAUCCGCGCUGCAUUAGCUAGUUGGUAAGGUAACGGCUUACCAAGGCAACGAUGCAUAGCCGACCUGAGAGGGUUGUCGGCCACCCUGGAACUGAGACACGGUCCAGACUCCUACGGGAGGCAGCAGUAGGGAAUCUUCCGCAAUGGGCGAAAGCAUGACGGAGCAACGCCGCGUGAGUGAUGAAGGUGUUCGGAGCGUAAAACUCUGUUAUUAGGGAAGAACAUAUGUGUAAGUAACUGUGCACAUCUUGACGGUACCUAAUCAGAAAGCCACGGCUAACUACGUG